rnacentral:lncRNA from 1 species
UAAGCAAGUGUUUUGGCUGUCCAUAAAUCACGAAUAAUUUUUCUGUUAGCUGAACUCCUAUACAAUUAUAUAAAAUUUACUUUUCAGGAAAAGUUGAGAUCUUCAUUGAAAUGCAAAGAGGUGUGGGAUUGUUUUCUUGGUGUUUUUUUUGUUUGUUUGUUUGGUUUUUAGUGUUUUUUGUUUGUUUGUUUGUUUUUCCUUUGUUAAAAUCUUAACAUCUUAUGAAUUCUUAUUCUUUUUACAGAUUCUGGAUCAAAUUUUCUCCGUGUCUUCAUCACCCAGAUUAGCAUGGAGGACAGAAACAGAAAGAAAAUCCUUGGACAUCUGAACUGCUGAAAUUUAAAGAGAUUCAAAGGAAGAAAAUCCUGACAGAAUCAGUGCUACAUUUAAGAAACUACCUAUCACCUGUCCAAAGGAAGAAUCAGAAUGAUACUCAGGGUGUUUGGAAACAAAGGGAAAAGAACAAGAGGUGUCCACAAUUAUAAAAUUAUAAUGGAUUGCUACCAGUACACUAACUGGCUGGUUGACAGUGAAUUGGACAAGAUCUUCUUCUGGAAGUGUCUAUUUCCAUGGCCAUUUGUAAGAUUCCUGGAUCAAUCCUAUUCAGCAGCAUCUAACACCAAGCAUCAAGCAUGAGGCUAUUGACAGAUUCUCUGUUUGCACAAUGCACUGAAUCAUGCCAAGCAGCCUCUGACAGCUCAAUGCCAUAUACACUGGAGCUCCUGCUACUUUUCAGUGACCUGCAGCUAAACAAAGUUUUCAAGAACUUUGUCUCCAUGAUAAAUUUAAGUAUUGACAUUCAUUUUCUCAGAGGGGAUGAUCUUCAGACGUAGCAUAAUGUGGCUGCAUGUCAGUGUCCAGGUGCAAUGUAGAGACGGAUGCUUCUGAAUUUGAGCUGAGAGGGACAGUUCUGAGAGAAAAGCAUAAUACAAUUGAUAUACGUUGUGGAGCUGAGAAAAAUGAUUACUCGAUUCAAAUAAGACCAAGGGAAACAAGACUAAUUUUGAAUUGAGUUUGGCUUCCCAGUGGUAUUGAAUUCUGUACACAGAUAUGUUCUUCGUAUUAUUCCUUUCAACUUGAAAAAUUUCUAAUCACUUUAUUGGUCUAUAGGCACCCGCCUUUGAGAUACAUGCAAGUGCAUUUUACUGUCCAGUAAAAUAUUUUAGGAAUGAAGGGCAACUCUAUGUUUUUGUAUUUUAGAUCUAUUGUAUAAAAAACCACCUGUGCUUUGGACUGUUUGAGUUAAAAGUAAAAAGAUGAAAAAAUCUUCACUAAAGAAUGAUCUGCUGGGGGCUGAGAGCUAGAGUUAAUUUAAAAUAUCUUGCCUAUAUUUAGAUUAUUUAUUUUGUAUUUGAGAAUACUAUGUACUUAAAAUAAUAGUUCUAUCAUAACUUAGCUUAAGCCGUAUAAUGUGGAUUAAACACCACAUGUUAAAAACACACCUUUUCAUUUAUUCACAGUGCAGACAUAUCUUCUAGGGCAUAGAAAAAUAGCCUUACAGAGGAUUAAUUCAGGAUCCUAAAUCAUAGGAUUAUAGAUCUUCAGUCAGAAGAUACUAUGAACUCUUAAAGUAAGAGAUAUUAUUGGAAAUGAUGUUCAAGAAACAAGUAGAAAUGUCCUUGUAGAGACUAACGAUUUAUUUACUUAUCAGGAAACUUCACUGAUUUGUAAUACUUCCUGAUUUGUUCUGUUUGAAGAAUAAACUGGGUCUUGAAACAAAGGCCCUGAAACA